CCAUGCUAAUCAUUUGUUUCUUAAAUUCCUUGAUGGUCUUUCACAUGGUAUCAUUUUGAGCAACGGACUGUGAUAAGGCACGUGUAAGCUGUGCUAUCUGCCGCGACAUAACAGUGAGCUGAAUACCGUCAAUUACCUCAGCCUGGCAUGAGAAACCAAUAUCUAUCAAUCUUGACUGGAUGUGCCACAAUUCAUUCCUAGAACCUAUCCCAUACACUCUCCCCUUUUGUCUUUCUCCUGCC
rnacentral:lncRNA from 1 species